rnacentral:rRNA from 1 species
GUACACGCUGUGACUAGCAUAUCAAUAAGCGGAGGAAAAGAAACUAACAAGGAUUCCCCUAGUAACGGCGAGUGAAGCGGGAAGAGCUCAAAUUUGAAAUCUUAAAGGGUUUCCCUUUACGAAUUGUAGUUUAAAGAAGUGUUUUCUGUUGAGGUUUUGGUAAAAGUUCUUUGGAAUAGGACAUCAUAGAGGGUGAGAAUCCCGUAUUUGACCUUUACUUUCAACUUUGUGAUACACUUUCAAAGAGUCGGAUUGUUUGGGAAUGCAGUCCAAAAUGGGUGGUAAAUUUCAUCUAAAGCUAAAUAUUGGCGAGAGACCGAUAGCGAACAAGUACCGUGAGGGAAAGAUGAAAAGAACUUUGAAAAGAGAGUUAAACAGUACGCUGAAAUUGUCAAAAGGGAAGCGUUUGACACCAGUGUUGUUUUUCUGAAAAUCAAUUAAAGAACUGUUUAUGCUAAGCUGUUUAGACUUUAUCAGCUAACUGUUUAGUUUUGAGCUUUUCUUUAAUGCACUUUUCAGUUAACAAGUCAACAUCAAUUUCUUUUGCUGUAAAAAAGCUUGAGGAAGGUGGCUUGAGAUUCGUCUUAAGUGUUUAUAGCCUCUUGCCUAUGCAGUCGGAGAGAUUGAGGUCUGCAGCGUAGAUCCUUCGGGGCUAAAUGCAUUUGUGCUAAGUUAUAGCAUUUUAUAGACAACUUGUUGACUAUGAUUUGUCUUGUAGCUUACUCGCUUAUGUUAUUUUACCUACGCUUAGGAUGUUGAGUCGUAGAGCACGCAG